rnacentral:ribozyme from 1 species
UGCACUCAUAAGGCAGCCUUCACGUGGCGAGUGUGUUAAGUAAUAGGUUAAAUGAAUCUUCCAGUUUGUACCUAUGAAAACUAAUGUCUU